AUUGAACGCUGGCGGCAGGCUUAACACAUGCAAGUCGAGCGGAGAUGAGGUGCUUGCACCUUAUCUUAGCGGCGGACGGGUGAGUAAUGCUUAGGAAUCUGCCUAUUAGUGGGGGACAACAUUCCGAAAGGAAUGCUAAUACCGCAUACGUCCUACGGGAGAAAGCAGGGGAUCUUCGGACCUCGCGCUAAUAGAUGAGCCUAAGUCGGAUUAGCUAGUUGGUGGGGUAAAGGCCUACCAAGGCGACGAUCUGUAGCGGGUAUGAGAGGAUGAUCCGCCACACUGGGACUGAGACACGGCCCAGACUCCUACGGGAGGCAGCAGUGGGGAAUAUUGGACAAUGGGGGGAACCCUGAUCCAGCCAUGCCGCGUGUGUGAAGAAGGCCUUAUGGUUGUAAAGCACUUUAAGCGAGGAGGAGGCUACUGAGACUAAUACUCUUGGAUAGUGGACGUUACUCGCAGAAUAAGCACCGGCUGACUCUGUGCCAGCCGCCGCCGUAAAAC
rnacentral:rRNA from 1 species